rnacentral:lncRNA from 1 species
CACGGCCCAUUACCACCACAACGGCAACCACUAUUGACUAUGACAUCGACGUCGACGUCAACAUGCAUGACCCACACAAUGUGUUUGGCGAAAUGCCCUCAAGGUUUGUAAAUUUUAUUUUCUCUCUUUUGUUGUUGCUUUACAUAAUGCAAAGUGACGGUGAUUUUUUUUGUGAUUAUAGUUUUAUGCGUUUCAGCGAUUGUAGGCAUAAAUUGGUGUAGUUUUCUUUAGCAACACAUUUGUGUACAUGCAAUCCAUCAACAUAGAUGUUAUCUCCUUGUCCAACCAUUCUUGUUGAUAAAGAUGUCGUUGAGGUUAUCCCUAAUCCUUGUACAAGACAAAAUGGGUAAGGUGAGGUACGAGGGGAACUAGACCGACGGCAGCUAGUGAUCCCCCCUCGAUCGCUUGCGAGAGCGACGAGGGAGGGGAUGGGAAGGGGCUUUCCUUAGUGCCAGGUGGCCAGCUUCUACACUCCCUGACUCGAGGCAUCAUCUCUAGUUUGACACUGAGUAAGUCAAUGAGGAAGAUGAGGAGCAUGACCAAAGUACCACUUAAAGCUCAAUGACGCCCACCAAAAGAAGCCUCUGGGGAGGAAGAAAGAAAACGAAAGGUGAAGAAAGAAGGAUAUGGUGUUGCGUUCCAUACCACAGUCUAAGAGAUGAUUGCACAAAGAGGGAGAUGUGCUGGGAGGAAUCAAGACAAGGUAUUAAAGUGGUUGGAGGUCAAGGCCAUGGUGGAGCAUAAGAUGGCGUAUGAGGAGCGUAAGGUGGCGAUAGAAGAGAAGAGGUUGAGGAACCUGGGAGAGAAGGUGUUUGCGAAGAAUAUGCAGCAAGAAUACAAAAUUCAUGUUCGUGGACAGCAUCGGGCCGAAUGAAACACGUUGAGUAUAUGUGGAAUCAAUGCAUGUGCAAGCAUCAAGGAUGUGAGGGAGUCGGAUUGGAGAUGGGAGUGCUGAUGCUCUAUGCUUGAGCCCUAUGUUUAAAGUCUGAGUUUGAAUUUGGAAAUUGCGGAUUUGAAAUGAUGUUGAAUUGUUUGUGGUAGAGACAUUAUGUUUUGAUAUGGCAAGUUACUGGAACUGCAAAAGCACCCCCCGCCCCCCGAUAAUCUGAAGAUGAUAUUGGGGAAACUUAGUAUACCACCUUAUUGGGUGGAUAUCGGGGGCUUUGGAGAUGCUCUUAUACUUUGAAGGGGUGUCCUAAUUUUGUUCUUUAGAUAUUUAAAUCUUUUUUAUGUGUAUCCUGGUUUUUUUAUACAUGCCAGCUAGUGGUUGUUCGGAGGUGCACAUGUCAAAGCGAAAAUGGACAAUCAAUUUUCUGGAAAGGGAUUUGUAGCAUGCAGGUGCGGGGGUACGAAACCUCUUUUUCUCUGGCUUUCUUUUCUAUCUUUUAAGCCAAAUAUCCAAAUAAAAUUUUGUAUUCAUAUCCGUGUUUCUGAUGAGGAGGGCUUUCAAAUUAGAUCAAUUUUGAAUACAUCUUGGCGAGUUUUAAAAAACAUCGUUAAGUUUCAACUUCUGAAACUUGAUACAAGCUUCUGAUAAAAACUUAAGUUUCAGAACUUGCGACUGAUGACUUCUGAAACUUGGUAUGAGUGGACGACAAAAUCGAAAGUUUCAGAACCGCGACCGAUAAAAUCGUAAGUUUUAGAAGCUAAAAUUUACAGCUUGUUGUGCACUCGCACUAGUAGAAAAAGAGGCUUCCAUACGCCCCCAUUAGUCCCCAAAAUAAUCGAACCGGGACUAAAGGGGUCUUUAGUCGCGGUUCGGGAGGAGACCCGCGACCAACUAUCUGGGCCCAGCGCGCUCGGUCGACAGCUGGCGGACGGGAGGGGCUUUAGUACUGGUUGGCCUGGCCAACCGGGACUAAAGGUCCUCAGGCUGGCCCGAAGGCCUUUAGUCGCGGUUGGCCAGACCAACCGGGACUAAAGGUUAGUCCUUUAGUCGCGGUUGGCCAGACCAACCGGGACUAAAGGUUAGUCCUUUAGUCGCGGUUGGCCAGACCAACCGGUACUAAAGGGACCAUCAAACUCCCCCCCCGGAGCGCCUUUUCAGUUUUAGAAAAACCAAAAGAAAAUGAUGGAAAUGUCAAAAAAAUAAAAUAAAAUAAGUUUCUCAUGUGAUAUGUGGUCUAGUUGUUGGGAAAAUUAACAAAUAUGAAUUUCGACUUUAUUUGCAAAAUCUCUCUGGAAUUUCUUAAAAUGGGCAUAACUUUUGCAUACGAACUCGGAUGAAACAGUUUUUUAUAUGAAAAAUCAUCUACUCGAGAAGUUACAUCCGAAUUUAAAUAGACCAAUAAAUCUCUCUGGAAUCUCUCUGGAGGUUUCUUGGUUAAAACAGACCAAUAAAUGGUCGAGUGUGCCACAACGUGCAAACGGUGUCGAAAGUCAUUCAAACUUGACAUGGAUGCCUCACAAUGGCAUGCCCACCUGCUUACAGAAGUUGAGAUCAUUUCAAAGAUGUCCAAAAAUGAACCAUCUUCAACGAAUGGUGUUUGGGUAGGCGACAAGGGUCUGGUUGAAAGCACGUUGUUUUUUGAUAUCUACCAACUUGUUUGUAUUUUCGACAAGUUUUGCAUUUUUGUGGAGUUUUUGUGUGAAAAAAGGCCAAUAAAUGGCUAGGCGUAACGCAACGUGCAAACGGUAUCGAAAGUCAUUCAAACCUGACAUGGAUGCCUCAUAUGUCCGUGCAAGAUUGUUGCAAGAAGUUGGGGUCAUUUAUCCAUAGUGCAGAAAAACAACAGAGGAGAGGAGUAUGUCACACUAGGCCAGACAGGUGCAUCCGUGAGCAUGUUGUUUUCUAGAUUUGAAUUCUUCUGUUAUUUGCAAUUUUUGUCAUUAUCUAUCAACAUGAAAAUUUUCUUAUGUCCUAAUCAUUUCUUGAAAUUAGUCCACAAUUUUGGAAUUUCAAAUUGUGCAUGAAAAUUUUACAAACUUGAACACUUUUUCCAAAAUUCUUAACAAAUUCCCAACAAUAGAUGAAAAUUUUGAAGACAUAUUGCAAUCCACUUAAUUUUAUUUAAUAAUUUAUCAUUUUUUUAAACACAAACAUUUCUUAAAUUUGUGAACAAAAAACCAAAAAACUAGAACAUUUCUUGAAAUUUUAGGUUUUUUUAUGUCAUAGAAAAUAUUUGAAAACAAGAAUAUGUUUUGUUAUUCCAAAUAAUAAUUAAUAAUAAAUUUUUAAAAAGAGAAAAAUGAAUUAUAAGAAAAAAAGAGAAUAAAAACUAAAUAAUAGAUAGAAAAAAAUCACUUAGGCCUCGGCCUUGGCCCGUCGGGUGCCUGUUGAACCGUUCCUAGCGUUACUUUUCUGUUUCUUUUUCGUUUUUUCCUGUUCCUCUUUUCCUUUUCUCUCAUUUUUCCAAUUUCUUUUUUACGUUUUCCUAUUUUAUUUUUCUUUUUUAUUGCCUUUCGUUUUCAUUUUUCCUUUUUUCAUGCUUACUUUAUUUUCACCAAUUUUUCAGAAAUUCUAAAUGAUGUUUGCAUUUUUUUCAAAUUUGUUUAAUUCUCUAAAGCUAUGUUCCUAUUUUGAAAUUUUGUUCAGAAAUUCCAAGAAAAGUAUAAAAUUUCAAGACAUGUUAGCUUCUUUUUAAAAAAAUGUCUGAAAUAUAGAAAAUACUCCCUCCGUCCCAUAAUAUAAGAAUGUUUUUGAUACUAGUGUAGUGUCAAAAACGUUCUUAUAUUAUGGGACAGAGGGAGUAGAACCUAAAAAGUUGUUAACUUCUUUCAAAAAAGUUCAAAAAUUGAAAAAAAACAUAUACUUCGAAAUAUCAAAAAAUUUUGAAUUUUUUCUCACAAAUUAAAAAACUUUCGGAAAUUUAAAAAUUGUUACCUUUUCCAAAUUAUUUUCGCCAAUUUAUUAAAGGUGUAAGGUUUGCAAAGAAAGAAACUACAAAUGCAAAAAAAGUUUAGCGAAUUUCACAAAAUGUUUGUGUUUUCAAAAUUUUGUUCAUAAUCUAAAAAAUGACCAUGUUUUCAAUUUUGUUCCGAUUCUCAAAAUAUAUUCACGUUGUCAAAAAAUUGUUUGUAAUUCCAAACUAUUUGUGUUUUCAAUUUUGUUUUUGUUUUUCGCAAAAAUAGUUUUUUAGAUUCUCAAAAAAAUUCGGGUUUUCACAAAAUUUAAAAAGUGUUCAGCUUUUGAAAACAAUUUAUAAAUUAUUUUAAAAAAUUUGUUCUCAGAGUCGCUAGCGCCACUAAUUCUUAUAAAUUUGCAUAGGUCAUUAGUCACUUGGACUUGCUAGCACCACCUGCUUUAUUCUCCCUAUAACAUGUGUGUGCUCUGCGGUUUGAUUCAUGUGAGGUCUAGGGUUUGAUUCCCGGGCAUACUUUUUUUAUUACGUUUAUUUCGCCCCAAAGAGGUGUUCUUGCACAGCGUUGCCGAUGGGUCGUCUCAUAUGUACUCGCACUAGUAGAAAAAGAGGCUUCCAUACGCCCCCAUUAGUCCCCAAAAUAAUCGAACCGGGACUAAAGGGGUCUUUAGUCGCGGUUCGGGAGGAGACCCGCGACCAACUAUCUGGGCCCAGCGCGCUCGGUCGACAGCUGGCGGACGGGAGGGGCUUUAGUCCCGGUUGGCCUGGCCAACCGGGACUAAAGGUCCUCAGGCUGGCCCGAAGGCCUUUAGUCGCGGUUGGCCAGACCAACCGGGACUAAAGGUUAGUCCUUUAGUCGCGGUUGGCCAGACCAACCGGGACUAAAGGUUAGUCCUUUAGUCGCGGUUGGCCAGACCAACCGGUACUAAAGGGCCCAUCAAACUCUCCCCCCCCGGUGGACCGCCUUUUCAGUUUUAGAAAAACCAAAAGAAAAUGAUAGAAAUGUCAAAAAAAUAAAAUAAAAUAAGUUUCUCAUGUGAUAUGUGGUCUAGUUGUUGGGAAAAUUAACAAAUAUGAAUUUCGACUUUAUUUGCAAAAUCUCUCUGGAAUUUCUUAAAAUGGGCAUAACUUUUGCAUACGAACUCGGAUGAAAAAGUUUUUUAUAUGAAAAAUCAUCUACUCGAGAAGUUACAUCCGAAUUUAAACAGACCAAUAAAUCUCUCUAGAAUCUCUCUGGAGUUUUCUUGGUUAAAACAGACCAAUAAAUGGUCGAGCGUGCCACAACGUGCAAACGGUGUCGAAAGUCAUUCAAACUUGACAUGGAUGCCUCACAAUGGCAUGCCCACCUGCUUACAGAAGUUGAGAUCAUUUCAAAGAUGUCCAAAAAUGAACCAUCUUCAACGAAUGGUGUUUGGGUAGGCGACAAGGGUCUGGUUGAAAGCACGUUGUUUUUUGAUAUCUGCCAACUUGUUUGUAUUUUUGACAAGUUUUGCAUUUUUGUGGAGUUUUUGUGUGAAAAAAGGCCAAUAAAUGGCUAGGCGUAACGCAACGUGCAAACGGUAUCGAAAGUCAUUCAAACCUGACAUGGAUGCCUCAUAUGUCCGUGCAAGAUUGUUGCAAGAAGUUGGGGUCAUUUAUCCAUAGUGCAGAAAAACAACAGAGGAGAGGAGUAUGUCACACUAGGCCAGACAGGUGCAUCCGUGAGCAUGUUGUUUUCCAGAUUUGAAUUCUUCUGUUAUUUGCAAUUUUUGUCAUUAUCUAUCAACAUGAAAAUUUUCUUAUGUCCUAAUCAUUUCUUGAAAUUAGUCCACAAUUUUGGAAUUUCAAAUUGUGCAUGAAAAUUUUACAAAUUUGAACACUUUUUCCAAAAUUCUUAACAAAUUCCCAACAAUAGAUGAAAAUUUUGAACACAUAUUGCAAUCCACUUAAUUUUAUUUAAUAAUUUAUCAUUUUUUUAAACACAAACAUUUCUUAAAUUUGUGAACAAAAAAUCAAAAAACUGGAACAUUUCUUGAAAUUUUAGGUUUUUUUAAGUCAUAGAAAAUAUUUGAAAACAAGAAUAUGUUUUGUUAUUCCAAAUAAUAAUUAAUAAUAAAGUUUUAAAAAGAGAAAUAUGAAUUAUAAGAAAAAAAGAGAAUAAAAACUAAAUAAUAGAUAGAAAAAAAUCGCUUAGGCCUCGGCCUUGGCCCGUCGGGUGCCUGUUGAACCGUUCCUAGCGUUACUUUUCUGUUUCUUUUUCGUUUUUUCCUGUUCCUCUUUUCCUUUUCACUCAUUUUCCAAUUUCUUUUUUACGUUUUCCUAUUUUCUUUUUCUUUUUUAUUGCCUUUCGUUUUCAUUUUUCCUUUUUCCAUGCUUACUUUAUUUUCACCAAUUUUUCAGAAAUUCUAAAUGAUGUUUGCAUUUUUUUCAAAUUUGUUUAAUUCUCUGAAACUAUGUUCCUAUUUUGAAAUUUUGUUCAGAAAUUCCAAGAAAAGUAUAAAAUUUCAAGACAUGUUAGCUUCUUUUUAAAAAAAUGUCUGAAAUAUAGAAAAUACUCCCUCCGUCCCAUAAUAUAAGAAUGUUUUUGAUACUAGUGUAGUGUCAAAAACGUUCUUAGGGACAGAGGGAGUAGAACCUAAAAAGUUGUUAACUUCUUUCAAAAAAGUUCAAAAAUUGAAAAAAAAACAUAUACUCCGAAAUAUCAAAAAAGUUUGAAUUUUUUCUCACAAAUUAAAAAACUUUCGGAAAUUUAAAAAUUGUUACCUUUUCCAAAUUAUUUUCGCCAAUUUAUUAAAGGUGUAAGGUUUGCAAAGAAAGAAACUACAAAUGCAAAAAAAGUUUAGCGAAUUUCACAAAAUGUUUGUGUUUUCAAAAUUUUGUUCAUAAUCUAAAAAAUGACAAUGUUUUCAAUUUUGUUCCUAUUCUCAAAAUAUAUUCACGUUGUCAAAAAAUUGUUUGUAAUUCCAAACUAUUUGUGUUUUCAAUUUUGUUUUUGUUUUUCACAAAAAUAGUUUUUUAGAUGCUCAAAAAAAUUCGGGUUUUCACAAAAUUUAAAAAGUGUUCAGCUUUUGAAAACAAUUUAUAAAUUAUUUUAAAAAAUUUGUUCUCAGAGUCGCUAGCGCCACUAAUUCUUAUAAAUUUGCAUAGGUCAUUAGUCACUUGGACUUGCUAGCACCACCUGCUUUAUUCUCCCUAUAACAUGUGUGUGCUCUGCGGUUUGAUUCAUGUGAGGUCUAGGGUUUGAUUCCCGGGCAUACUUUUUUUAUUACGUUUACUUCGCCCCAAAGAGGUGUUCUUGCACAGCGUUGCCUAUGGGUCGUCUCAUAUGUACAGGCUGCGUAUCGGUGGGGGCAUGGAGAGUUCUCCUCAUUGAUGUNNNNNNNNNNNNNNNUAUUCUCCCUAUAACAUGUGUGUGCUCUGCGGUUUGAUUCAUGUGAGGUCUAGGGUUUGAUUCCCGGGCAUACUUUUUUUAUUACGUUUACUUCGCCCCAAAGAGGUGUUCUUGCACAGCGUUGCCUAUGGGUCGUCUCAUAUGUACAGACUGCGUAUCGGUGGGGGCAUGGAGAGUUCUCCUCAUUGAUGUGUUUAGGGGGGGGGCGGGGGGUUGUGCCGAAGCAGAACCUAGGUAGCUCUUGGUUGAUGAAUCAAGAAGAUGCUUACCUAUUCAUUUGUUGAAAACUGCCUGCGUGGAUCGGUGGUAUUGUAACUCCUGUCCGACGAACAUCAAAUUGCUCGAGCUGCUGUUGGAGGAGGAAGCAUCGGUCAGGCCUCCACAGGAAGGCCUGUGGCGGCUAGAGUCGUGUGUGAUAUGCCCCUAGGUUAAUUUUGUGGGAUUGAUUUGCGGCUAGGUUGAUCGCUCAUGUCAAUGUGUGCGGGCCCACACGAGGGAAAUGGAAAUUCCACUAAUUCAGGGAAUCAUUGAUUUACUUACCCGCUACUACACCUACACGUACAUGCAUGUUGCAUCUAAAUUAGUGCAGGAUCAUGCUUCACGGGCCAGACCAGGAGACAACAUACACUGUCCUUGUGGGAUUCCAUGGACAUGUUGGUGGCAUACCGGCAUCUUACUCGGGCAAUGCGGUGCGGAACGUUACCACCAAGUCCACCACCGGCGAUAUCAUGGGCAAGGGUUUAGGCUACAACCCCUUUUUUACAGGAUCUGAGGACGAUUGUGGCAUGCAGCCACAAUACAAAGCGAGGUUUAGUGAUCUUCCAGCCCAACUUCGCGAGGGGGGUCAUUCGGGCAUGGAUUUUAUGCUUAUGUGUAUGAAUACCGGAGUGGCUGGUUACUCAACCUAGUCCAACAUUGCCACUGUGAAUAAUCAAACAAAUAGACAAGCAAUCCUCGAGUUCUGAUGUCUCUCAAGCCUACGCGAAUUGAGCUGCUAAAACAUUUGGCCUUUGCUCGACGUUUUUGUCUCUCCUCUUCCAUUCAUUCCUCUGUUUUGAGUAUUACAUACUGUGGUAGCCAGCACCAUGUUUGCUCUACACUACCUUUUAUAGCACGGUUUCGGUACCAUGUCGCGUGUACAACAAAGUUUAUUAUUUCUCUACCGUGGUCAUGGACGGGGCAGCCAGCGAGCAUGUGACACAUCUGAGAAAAGAUAAAGAGAAUAGAGAUGCCAUCAUUUAAGAGUACUCGCUAGUAAUAGUUACUCUGCAAAUGUAACAUGUGCAUGUUCACUAGUAGAAAAAGGAUAAUCUGUCCCGGUUGGUAAGGGCCUUUUGUCCCGGUUGUUGAACCGGGACUAAAGGGUCGUUACUAAUGCCCUAGCCCUUUAGUCCCGGUUCUUACACGAACCGGGACAGAUGGGCCUCCACGUGGCCGCUGCGGCCAGCCCAGGUAGGAGGGCCUUUGGUCCCGGUUGGUGACACCAACCGGGACCAAAAGGCAUCCACGCGUUAGCAUUUCAGUGGCUGGGGUUUUUUUGUUUUUUUUAANNNNNNNNNNGAAACCUCUUUUUCUCUGGCUUUCUUUUCUAUCUUUUAAGCCAAAUAUCCAAAUAAAAUUUUGUAUUCAUAUCCGUGUUUCUGAUGAGGAGGGCUUUCAAAUUAGAUCAAUUUUGAAUACAUCUUGGCGAGUUUUAAAAAACAUCGUUAAG